rnacentral:rRNA from 1 species
GACGAACGCUGGCGGCGUGCUUAACACAUGCAAGUCGAACGGAAAGGCCCUUUCGGGGGUACUCGAGUGGCGAACGGGUGAGUAACACGUGGGUGAUCUGCCCUGCACUUUGGGAUAAGCCUGGGAAACUGGGUCUAAUACCGGAUAGGACUACGCGAUGCAUGUCGUGUGGUGGAAAGCUUUUGCGGUGUGGGAUGGGCCCGCGGCCUAUCAGCUUGUUGGUGAGGUUAUGGCUUACCAAGGCGACGACGGGUAGCCGGCCUGAGAGGGUGACCGGCCACACUGGGACUGAGAUACGGCCCAGACUCCUACGGGAGGCAGCAGUGGGGAAUAUUGCACAAUGGGCGCAAGCCUGAUGCAGCGACGCCGCGUGGGGGAUGACGGCCUUCGGGUUGUAAACCUCUUUCGCCAGGGACGAAGCGCAAGUGACGGUACCUGGAGAAGAAGGACCGGCCAACUACGUGCCAGCAGCCGCGGUAAUACGUAGGGUCCGAGCGUUGUCCGGAAUUACUGGGCGUAAAGAGCUCGUAGGUGGUUUGUCGCGUUGUUCGUGAAAACUCACAGCUCAACUGUGGGCGUGCGGGCGAUACGGGCAGACUUGAGUACUGCAGGGGAGACUGGAAUUCCUGGUGUAGCGGUGGAAUGCGCAGAUAUCAGAGGAACACCGGUGGCGAAAGCGGGUCUCUGGGCAGUAACUGACGCUGAGGAGCGAAAGCGUGGGGAGCGAACAGGAUUAGAUACCCUGGUAGUCCACGCCGUAAACGGUGGGUACUAGUGUGGGUUUCCUUCCUUGGGAUCCGUGCCGUAGCUACGCAUUAAGUACCCCGCCUGGGGAGUACGGCCGCAAGGGCUAAAACUCAAAGAAAUUGACGGGGGCCCGCACAAGCGGCGGAGCAUGUGGAUUAAUUCGAUGCAACGCGAAGAACCUUACCUGGGUUUGACAUGCACAGGACGUGCCUAGAGAUAGGUAUUCCCUUGUGGCCUGUGUGCAGGUGGUGCAUGGCUGUCGUCAGCUCGUGUCGUGAGAUGUUGGGUUAAGUCCCGCAACGAGCGCAACCCUUAUCUUAUGUUGCCAGCGCGUUAUGGCGGGGACUCGUGAGAGACUGCCGGGGUCAACUCGGAGGAAGGUGGGGAUGACGUCAAGUCAUCAUGCCCCUUAUGUCCAGGGCUUCACACAUGCUACAAUGGCCGGUACAAAGGGCUGCGAUGCCGUGAGGUGGAGCGAAUCCUUUCAAAGCCGGUCUCAGUUCGGAUCGGGGUCUGCAACUCGACCCCGUGAAGUCGGAGUCGCUAGUAAUCGCAGAUCAGCAACGCUGCGGUGAAUACGUUCCCGGGCCUUGUACACACCGC